AUGGAGCCGACCUUGAAAUACCACCCUUUAAUGUUUGAUGUUCUAACGUUGACCCGUAAUCCGGGUUGCGGACAGUGUCUGGUGGGUAGUUUGACUGGGGCGGUCUCCUCCUAAAGAGUAACGGAGGAGCACGAAGGUUGGCUAAUCCUGGUCGGACAUCAGGAGGUUAGUGCAAUGGCAUAAGCCAGCUUGACUGCGAGCGUGACGGCGCGAGCAGGUGCGAAAGCAGGUCAUAGUGAUCCGGUGGUUCUGAAUGGAAGGGCCAUCGCUCAACGGAUAAAAGGUACUCCGGGGAUAACAGGCUGAUACCGCCCAAGAGUUCAUAUCGACGGCGGUGUUUGGCACCUCGAUGUCGGCUCAUCACAUCCUGGGGCUGAAGUAGGUCCCAAGGGUAUGGCUGUUCGCCAUUUAAAGUGGUACGCGAGCUGGGUUUAGAACGUCGUGAGACAG
rnacentral:rRNA from 1 species